GCCGCGUUGGGCAAGAGUGGUCGUGGGGUUUAUAUAUACAGAGCUGGAAGGCCUUUGGAAGACAUGGACUCUUCUCCCCCAUGCAUGACUGAAGUUUUCCGCUGCAUGGGAAGGGCAGCUCGUGCUGCUUUAUGUGCAAUUGCAAGGCAUCUUCGAUUGCGAAGCGAUGUCUUCAAUCACUUGCUUGAUGACAAUCCGCUGCCCGUUAAUGAGGCCUCUUCAUCUGUUGUUGUUGCAACCUUCUCCAAUACCACCUCUCAAAAUGGGAAAGGAGCUAUUGGAGGAGGGAAGCUAGUUACAAAUGGUGAAGUAGAGAAAGGGCUGUUGACACUAGUUUCAUCUGAUGCUCCUGGUCUUCAGGUUUGUGAUCCCAAUGGUCGUUGGUAUCUAGCAGAUAGUGGCUUGACUCCUGGGGAUUUACUAUUGCUUACUGGGAAAGCUCUCAGCCAUGCUACUGCCGGUCUUCGUCCUGCAGCCGUAUACCGGGGUUCAGCUGAUAAUUAUGUGGGCACUACUUGUGGUGGAAGGACAUCACUUGCAUUUAGGCUUAUACCUCAGAGCAAUGCAAUACUGGAUUGUUCUCCGAUUACAGCUGCUGGUCAUGUUAUUCCUCAUAGCUACGUGCCAAUAU
rnacentral:misc_RNA from 1 species